rnacentral:misc_RNA from 1 species
GAUGAAGAACGCAGCGAAAUGCGAUAAGUAAUGUGAAUUGCAGAAUUCAGUGAAUCAUCGAAUCUUUGAACGCACAUUGCGCCCGCCAGUAUUCUGGCGGGCAUGCCUGUUCGAGCGUCAUUUCAACCAUCAAGCCCCCGGCUUGUGUUGGGGACCUGCGCCUGCCGCAGGCCCUGAAAAGCAGUGGCGGGCUCGCUGUCACACCGAGCGUAGUAGAUUUCAUCUCGCUCAGGGCGUGCUGCGGGUUCCGGCCGUUAAACCACCUUCAUAACCCAAGGUUGACCUCGGAUCAGGUAGGAAGACCCGCUGAACUUAAGCAUAUCAAUAAGCGGAGGA